GAUGAAGAACGUAGCGAAAUGCGAUAAGUAAUGUGAAUUGCAGAAUUCAGUGAAUCAUCGAAUCUUUGAACGCACCUUGCGCUCCUUGGUAUUCCGAGGAGCAUGCCUGUUUGAGUGUCAUUAAUAUAUCAACCUUCUCUUUUUUGGGUUGUUUGGAUGUGGGGGUUUGCUGGCCUCUUAAAUGAUUCAGCUCCCCUGAAAUGCAUUAGCAGAACAACCUGUUCAUUGGCGUGAUAAUUAUCUAUGCUAUUGAAUGUGAGGGCAGUUCAGCUUUCUAACCGUCCUUGGACAAUUCAUCAUUAAUGUGACCUCAAAUCAGGUAGGACUACCCGCUGAACUUAAGCAUAUCAAUAAGCGGAGGA
rnacentral:misc_RNA from 1 species